CGGACACAGCUCGGCUUGGCCACAGAGAAGUCCUUGCCACGUCCACGAGGAGCAGUGGGAGAUGUUUCCCAGGGAGAAAGGGAAAGGAAGCUGACCAGCGGAUCCCCAGCAUCACCCUGUGGGAAGGAAGAGAGAUCAGCGCUGGGUUAUGGGAAGGAGUGCCUUUGCAAAGAACAGCGAGGCUGCGAACACCAGCACAGAGCUCCCCCAGCAGAGGCCUGGGCUCACAGUGGAUGGGGAUAACUCUGCCUCCACAAGGGAGAGUUAUCCCUUUGGUGGCAGCUUAGUCAAGGACACAGCUGGGGGAACACUGAAGCUUCAUUUCUGCCCUUCUGCUGGCUUCAGAUACGAAGCACACUCAGACCAACAAUGAGAUUCAGGGUGAACCCCUCA